GUGUGCGCACGUGCACUCGUGGGGGGGCGGGGAGGCUGCAGAAAGGUGGCACUGACCGGUGCUGCUGAUAUUGGAGUGCAUCUGAGGCUGUUGUAGACACAACACUGCCGAUGAUUAUAACCCAAAAAACAGCUCACCUAAGUAGCCUCACACCCUAAGAUCUCUAACAGGUUCCUUAACGUGGUCCUGUGAUCUGA
rnacentral:snoRNA from 1 species